CCAUCAUUUAGUUGGGUCACUCUAAUGAGACUGCCGGUGACAAACCGGAGGAAGGUGGGGAUGACGUCAAAUCAUCAUGCCCCUUAUGACCUGGGCUACACACGUGCUACAAUGGGCGGUACAAAGGGUCGCGAACCCGCGAGGGGGAGCCAAUCCCAAAAAGCCGCUCUCAGUUCGGAUUGCAGGCUGCAACUCGCCUGCAUGAAGCCGGAAUCGCUAGUAAUCGCGGAUCAGCAUGCCGCGGUGAAUACGUUCCCGGGCCUU
rnacentral:rRNA from 1 species